AUUGAACGCUGGCGGAAUGCUUUACACAUGCAAGUCGAACGGCAGCACGGGGCAACCUGGUGGCGAGUGGCGAACGGGUGAGUAAUACAUCGGAACGUGCCCAAUCGUGGGGGGAUAACGUAGCGAAAGUUACGCUAAUACCGCAUACGAUCUACGGAUGAAAGCGGGGGAUCGCAAGACCUCGCGCGAAUGGAGCGGCCGAUGUCAGAUUAGGUAGUUGGUGGGGUAAAGGCUCACCAAGCCAACGAUCUGUAGCUGGUUUGAGAGGACGACCAGCCACACUGGAACUGAGACACGGUCCAGACUCCUACGGGAGGCAGCAGUGGGGAAUUUUGGACAAUGGGCGCAAGCCUGAUCCAGCCAUUCCGCGUGCAGGAUGAAGG
rnacentral:rRNA from 1 species